UCGAGAAUCAUUCUUGAUUUUGAGAAUAAAAAAAUAAUUAUAAAACUUGUAUCGAACGUGUUUGCGAAAGAAAAGAUUAUCGUGGAAAAAUUUUUUUCCUCUUUCAUAUUUGAAUAAUUGUUUAGAAAACACAAAUAUUUCAAAAAGUGAGUUUCAUUGUGAUACAAAAAACGCUCUGACAAAGUUUUUGGCGCUUUGACAGUGGCGAUAAAACUACACAAAAAAAGAGAAUAAGAAAAUGGAUGAUGAUGUGUAUAUAAUUAUAUUUUUUCAUUCAUUUUCCAUUCAUUUGUUGGAAAAGUAUGUUUCAGUCAUCAUAAAAUAAUUCUCACGAGACGUGUCUUUAUCUGUAUCGAAUGUGUUAACAAUAGAUUCGAAUAAUCUGAAACGUCGAUUAAUAAUUAAAUAUCGUGGAUAGACAUUGUGAACGAGCUAUAUAUAUAUAGGGAAAGUUUUUGGAAGUUUCGGGCAGAGUUUCGAUACAAGGGCAUUAGCAUUUAAAAUAUAUAGAGAUAUUAGAUGAAACGACUAUGCUUGGUGAGCUCUGACGAGGGCAUUAUUAUGAAAAUGGUCUUUGAAAGUCUUGCGCAAAAAUAGGAGAUGUUUCAAAGUUUCAUGACAUCGUUUCGUCCCUUUGAACACUUUAUUAAUGGGCGAUUUUCUUCUUAUUUUUAGGUUGAUCGUUGACUAGUUGCAAGUAUAAAGGAAAUCAACGUGUUAUAAAAAAAUGAAGAAGAAAAGAUAUAUAAAUAAAUAUAUAUAUAUAUAAAACGAAGCAAGUUUGAAGAGUUAAGCCUAACCUAAUAGAAUUGACUCUAAAAAUAGAAUCAACACACAAAGAGACAAUAGAUAGCUCGGGCACAAGAAAGGAAAAGAAUAUAAGUGGCUAAGUAAAAUGAAAUAAAGAAUGAAAUUUCGGUCCAAGUUGAAAAACGUAUCAUUGAAAAUACUCCCUUAACCGUGAUUUAAGAUAAAAAUUCUCUCAUUUCAGAAAUAACUCAACGAUAGAAAUUUAAAGAGAUUACAUUUAAGUAAUUUCAACGAAGAACGUUUAAUCAUUCGACCUCUAUCAAGGCUUAUACACGAGCUUGGAAUUAUCCAUUUCAUGGAUAUAUGUAUAUCUCUAAGCAAAUCUCAAUCCCGCACCGAAUGGACAACACCGACUUGAUGGAUUACCGCGGCCAAAUCUUCAAAUCCUCAAACUCAUUUCGCUAAUCGCCACCGCCAACACUGCCAUCUCCCAUUUUAAUCCGCAUUGUCCAGAAGACAUUGUCGUUGUCACGACGAUAGGAAGGAUGGAAUCGCGAAAAGAGGUGCGCUUUCUGUGUACCCGAACAGAGGACUUAGCGUCUAAAAACAACGAGCGACGCCGUUGUCAGUCUGCCAAAAUUCCAUCGCGACCGAACAGUUGCCAGUACCGUACCAUCUUCAAUUCGGAAAAAACGUGACUGAAGUUUAGUAUCCGGGUUGCAAAAUUUUUUUCUUCUUUUUUUCCAAACCUCCCCGUUUAUUCUCGAAUCUGAAAACGAAAAUGAUAAUAAGGUUAUUUCAAUGAGAUAACUUUGGACGAUGGAACGACACGUGUACAAUUGAUAUUUUUCCUUUGAUAGAAUUUAAUUAUUCGAUAUUAAUUAAUGUAGCGAUGUACGUAUGAAAAAGUAUAAGAUGAAUGAAAAAUAAGUUUGGAUUACUGUAUAUUUUUCGGCAUUGUAUGAAAUUAGAGUUAACAAGAGGGAAUAUAAUAAACAAAUGGAAUUAACCAGUCAAA